CACGCCUCGUCCUCUUCAUUACCUCCGCUCAAGGUCUCCUCCUCCUCCUUGUCGUGCUCGCCGUGGUGGCGAGGGGGGCCAUCCCAGUGUUGGCGUAGCUGACGGAAGACUGCAAGGAUGCGAUCCCAGAUCUUCUCCCCACGUCGAUCUGGUCUCUGGCGGGGCUCCAAUCUGACGCUGCCUCUAAUCGGCGACCAGUCCAUGGCCCUAGAGGCACUGACUGUCCACAUUGGGAGAAGCCGGAAGCCCCAUCUGCUGAAACCACGGUUGUGCUUGAACUCCCCAGUCCUCGCAGGAUCUUCCUCUACUCACAGCCCAACUGGUGGAGACCGGACAACCUUGGCCCGCAGCAGAUCGUACAAAUAGUGGCUGGAAAGUCGUCGGAUAGCACCGGCAACAUCGCUACCUCUGCCCCGUACGAGCUCCCUUGUUGUCUCACCUUCAGUAUCAUAAUGUGUGAAUCUUUGUUAAUAAGGUGUUUUUCUGGUAGUUGGAAGUUGGAAACAAGACUGCAGUGUCUUCUCCACUAAUUAAGAUCAGAGUACAUUGUUAAGACUUCAAAUGCUCUAACUUAUUUCUUAUAUAUAAUUGAAAAUGCUUUCAACCUGG